GACUAUUUUUGACAGUAUUGAAGGUGGUCUUAAUCGAUUUAUUGGUGUGUUCACGCCAAGGCGGUCUACAAGUUCACACCCAAGAAAGGUGAAGGUAUGGUGUUAUGCUAUGUUAGUUGAUUACAAGGUUGAGUAAUUACUUAGUUGAUUGGUCGAUUGGUUGAUCCAGAGUUAAUUGAUCAUAAGCGCAAGGAGAAUUUUGCAGUACUGUAUGUGCAGGUGUGCGAACGCCAACGUGCAUGCUUGUACAUUAAUUUUUACUACUGUAUUCCAUGCAUUGAUGGUUUUUUUAAUAAAAACUGUACUCUUACCAUUAUUGGUUAUUACAGAUUUCCCAUAUGGCAAAUUACCC
rnacentral:lncRNA from 1 species